rnacentral:miRNA from 14 species
UAGAGUGACCAGCCACCCUGGAUUGCCUGGGACUGAGGAGUUUCCUGGAAUGGGGGAUUUUCAGUGCUCAUACCAGGAAAGUC